CCCCUUUCAGGGUCGUAGCCGGAGAGUUUCCAGUACUCUACCAGUCUCGAUUAUGGGAGGGAGAGUCAAGCAGAGGCAUGUCAAUUCCAUUCCUAGCUUGGGCAGUGGCUAGCGAGUGGCUGGCACUCUGCUACAAAA